ACGGGAGGCAGCAGUGGGGAAUAUUGCGCAAUGGAGGCAACUCUGACGCAGCAACGCCGUGUGCAGGAUGACGGCCUUCGGGUUGUAAACUGCUUUCAGUAGGGAUGAAUUUUGACAGUACCUACAGAAGAAGCUCCGGCUAACUACGUGCCAGCAGCCGCGGUAAUACGUAGGGAGCAAGCGUUAUCCGGAUUUAUUGGGCGUAAAGCGCGCGCAGGCGGAUAUUUAAGCGGGACCUUUAAUCCGAGGGCUCAACCUUCGGUCGGGUUCCGAACUGGAUAUCUUGAGUGCGGUAGAGGCAGGCGGAAUUCCAUGUGUAGCGGUGAAAUGCGCAGAUAUAUGGAAGAACACCGAUAGCGAAGGCAGCCUGCUGGGCCGUUACUGACGCUCAGGUGCGAAAGCUAGGGGAGCAAACAGGAUUAGAUACCCUGGUA
rnacentral:rRNA from 1 species